UACUGGAAGGCUGCUAUAAAGUCUCCUCGGAGCUUUCUCUUCUCCAGGCUGAAAAGCCCCAGGUCUCUCACACUGUUCUUGUAGAGGAGGUGCUCCAAUCCUCUGAUCAUCUUCAUGGCUUCAGGUUAUAUUUCCCCACACUGGGGCAUCGUUUGUUAUCAGUCUGUCACUCCUGUAUACCUGUAACUCCAUCCCCACGGAUGCACAUUACCAUAAUCUGUAUUCUCCAGGAGAAUGGAUGCUUCCAGCAUAAAUUAAGUUGAACUUGUAAUAACACUUAUGAUUAAGUUAAUCUGAGAUUUCCCUUCGAUGACCCUUCUGUUGUGACUGUUCCUUCUUCCCACUGGAAGCCACUGGAGCCUUCAGCCCUGUCAGCUCCGAGUUCCCAUAGGAUCUUUGAACUACAUUUGUUUUAGAGCAGAGCUCAAGUCUCAUACAUGUGCCAUUAAUCGGAACCCCUACACUCCUUUCCUGGGGCUGCUCUCCAGCCUCCCAACCACCCCUGUUCAAUGAGCAGUGGCAGCCCCACAGGCAAAAAUCAGAACAUGCUUUUGGUUCUGGCUGCUGAUUGCCCAGCCCUCUUAAUGACCAAGAUUAAAUCAUAGAUCAUAGAAUCCCACAAUGGUUUGAGUUGGAAGGGAAAUCUAAGACCAUGUAAUUCCAACGCCCCUGCUGGAGGCUGGGACACCUCCCCACUAAACCAGGUUGCGCGAAGACCUCAGCAAGUCCUCUCUGCAUCUGAGGACCUCUAUAGCUCCUCCAUGUUUGUGUUGUCCUCAAGAUUAGCAGGAAUUUCAGACUUGCAUCUAGACAAUGCCUCUAGAUCACACCUUGCCUUUAUAAAGAAGGCGCUUGAUCCUGUACACAGGGCUGUGAUUUAAAAGGCUUAGAGAACAUCUCUGAUUUUGUUGGCUGCUUUCUCUAUUUCUAAGAUACCAAACCAAAAGCAAAGGAACCAAAUAGGAGUUGUACACUUGUAUUUAGCAUCUUUGUUCAAGCUAGACCUAGAAAGCAGCCUCUGUGCCACUGCUGACAUUGCAGAGCAUCGCCUGGACGCACAGCUACUCCCUUGCACAAGUUCUGCAAUGGAAACCACAGAGUAUUUGCAAGAGGUGAACACAAACUGGGAAGAGACUGCUAUUCUCUGCUACCAGUGCUUGGGAAAGUGUCUUCCAAACCAUGUGGAGAGCUAGAGGACACUUAGGAGGCCAGCAGGGAGAUACUCGGCAAGCACACAGGGAAGGGGAAGCAAAGCCUAGGUGAGGAGUGAUCUCCUUGCAACACAGCUUGUCUUUUGACUCAACUCUGAAGAGCCACGGCACUGGGCAGGACCAGCAACAAGUGCAGCUCAGUGACAUCGGCUCAGGUGGCUCCAGCCAGCCUGGCCUUGGACACCACAUGACGAUGAUGUCACUGUGAUGACAGGAGGGCACCAUGGUGACGCCUGAGCAUCUCCCACCGAAACCCCCAGGCAGCACCGGUUGACUUCCCUUGCCAGCAGGCGGGGGACAACUGGCUUGCUGCACAAGUGGCUGCACACACAACCUUCUUUCAAAACCAGACAGGAGGAAUGGAAAUGAGCCAUUGGCAGCUAAAACAGCUUCUGCUACCGAUCUGAAGGAACUGGUCGAGAUUUCAGGCUCUGCUUUUAGUGAGCAUCCAGGAUGGGACCAAGCACCAGCUGGCGAUUCUGCAGGAAUCCAUAAUGGAAGAAAGGGGCUCAGAAUCAUAUCCCAGUGAGGAGAAAACAAAAGGUUUACCUCAGAGUUCAUUUGAGGAAAGCACUGGCUUGGUCAGUGUGUUCUCAUUGCUCAGCUUCCCACAAAAACUCUGGGUUCUGGUGGAAAGUGAUCACAUGGAGAGUAUUUGGUGGGGUCACGGAGGAAAAUGCCUCGUAAUUAAAGAAGAAAUGUUUAUGGUGGAAAUUCUGGCAAAGGAGAGCACCUGCGAGAACCUCUGGGAGAGAGCUCUGUUCACCAGCUCAACCUCUACAGAUUCACCAGAGUUCCAUGGGACCUUGAAAGAUCUCCUUCCCUUUUUGAGUUUCUGGCCAAGGAAGAAGUGCUGUCUGCCUAUAGGAAGGUUAAGUAUUUAUACUGUUCCUCACACAAACGGGGACUAUACAUUCACAAAAUAUUUUGUUGCAGUCAGCCUAAUCCGUAGGAUUAAAUUGACCAAUAGGUGUGGUUUAACCUGGCAGGUGGCUCGACUCAGCACCACACUGUCAUUCACUCGCUUGCCCCCUUCCCAGUGGGAUGAGGGAGAGAAGUGGGGAAAAAAACUUGUGGGUUGAGAUAAAAAAUAUUUACUAAGGUAAAGACAAGAAAAAGGAUAACAGUAGCCUGCACGUAUCUGUAUUUAUAUCUAUAUCUGAACAAAUAUAAUAAGAGAUGCAAAAGCAACUGCUCACCAACCCUUGACUCAAGUCCAGAUAGCUCCUGAGCAGCAUAAGAGAGCCAGAUUAACUCAUACCCCCAUCAUUUGAUGUCGUACGGCAUAGGAUAUCCCUUUGCCCAUUUAAACCAGCUGUCCUAACUCUAUUCCCACCCAACUCCUCAGACCCUCUGCUGGGAAUGUCUUUGGCUCUGUACAACACUGCUUAGCAGCAACAAACACUGCUGCGGCAUAAACACUGGUGUUCUGCUUGAACAAAUCCAUAGCAUCAUACACAUGCUGAAGUAUGCAAUUCCAUUCCAGCUGAAACAAAGGCACUGAUAAGUCUUGUUAAUACCCGAAUUUGACCUUAGCCAUCAGAAGUGCUAGUUCCUGUAUCUUGCUGACCUUCAGCCUCACACUGACAGCAGCUAAGUCUUUACAUUUUUCAGUCACUGCUCUACUCCAGCUUAUACUUCAGGAGAGACUACCCACAGCUGCUGGAACACUGCAAGCAAAGAGCAGCCCAGAAGAGGAGGGAUUUGGCUGCUCCUGCCCUUGCCCCUGAGAAUGAGAGUUCCCAGAAGAGCAGUCCAGCUGCUCAUCCUAGGCAGGGAGCAGAUGCUGGGCCAGAGAGGAGCCUACAAGCAGCAGAGCCAGAAGGCACACAGGCAGCAGAACCCAUGGGGCCCCCAUCAGUCAAGCACUGCAAGGAAGACAUCACUUCAGCCCAACAGCACACUGCUCACAGCCUGCCAGGCCCUGCUGCAGCACCAGUGUGACAACAGUGCCAACCUCUGCCCUGCUCCUCAGUCCCACACUGACAGCAGCUAACUCUUCUCCUUUACAUUUUUCAGCUACUCUACUCCAGCUCAUACUUCAGGAGAGACUACCCACAGCUGCUCAAACUCUGUAAGCAAAGAGCAGCCCAGAAGAGAUGUGGCUGCUCCUGCCCCUGCCCUGUAGGAGGCUCUGAAUGAGAGCCUGCAGAGGAGCAGUCCAGCUGCUCAGCCUAGGCAGAGAGCAGAUGCUGGGCCAGAGAGGAGCUUACAAGCAGCAGAGCCAGAAGGCACACUGGCAGUGGCACCCAUAGGGCCCCGGCCAGCUAAGCACCCCAAGGAAGACACCCCCCAGCAAGCCAAACAGCACACUGCUCACAGCCUGUCAGGCCCUGCUGCAGCCCCAGCAUGGCAACAGUGCCAGCCUCUGCCUCACUCCGUGCUGCCACCAAGCAGCAGACAGAUGCUGGCUGCCAUUUGUGCUCCUUCACAGCACUCUGCCCUUCAUGGUCCUCACUGUGCCAUCUAGCCCUCCUCAGUAGGACUCUCCCAGCACCCAGAAGCAUCACAGCUGCAGGGUCCCUGGUCUUGGCUCAUGCUUUGCAGUGGCCAUGAGGGCAGCAACCACUAUGACGCCACGGGACUUACAGCCCCGUUCUGCCCAACGUGCCCCUGCAGCCACGCAAGGGCAUCCCCGUUCUGCCCAACGUGCCCCUGCAGCCAGGCAAGGGCAACCCCGUACUGCCCGAGGUGCCCCUACAGCCAGCCCUCAGGAGAUGCAGGCUACGGGGCCGCCUCUUAGACAUUAGAAGAAAAAAUGCUUUAUUCAUGGACUGGAGAUGUUUUGCACAGAAUAGUUUAAAAAAUGUUAAGAUCGGCACAGUUUUAAUGUAAUCAGGCUUCAAAGUAAAAUCAUAUAAGUUGUAUGUAAUUCGCAAGGAAUCAAGAAGUGAAUUACACUGCCUGGUGUGUAACACAGGAAAAAUUACAACUUUGUCAUCUGUAGGUUCAAGCCCAAAUCUUCACCCAGUGAAACAAAAACUGAGGUUCUAUCAUUAUAUUCAAGGAGUGCAAAUGUACAGAUUUGAGAGAUAUUUCAAUUAAAAUGCUGGUGAAAAAUGCCAUGACAGAUUCCACAACAAGAAUUUUGCAAAAAUAGGAUUUUUGUAUGUAAAUAUAUUCAUUAAAAAAAAGAUUCAGGCUGAUUGUUUUUCAGUAAGCAAGGUAAGUUUUUACUGCCUUUAACUCAAAGGAAGAACUUCAGACUGUUUCAAAAUUUGGAUCUGUAUCUACACUUCCGAAACUCAAGGCAGCUGUCAGUUUUCAUAUUAAAAAAUACGUUCCUCUAUUGAGAAUUUAAUAGUAUCUCAGAGCAUUGUGAAAGAAUGAAAGCAUGCAAAAUGUUUGCUCAGACACUUCAAACUUACUCCUUGUAAUUGCCAUGAUGUUGUACGUCUAAUUUUUUCAUAUUUGUAUGCUUUCAUACUCUGACACCGUAAAUUUGUUUCCCCCUGAUCCCAAUAAUUGUCCCUCUCAAUUUUUUUUUGCCUGUUCAGUUCAACUGGUAUUACAAUGAAAGGUCAGUACAAGCUCAAAAUCUCAAAAUAUCGGAUAUACACCUCUCAUUAAAUCUAUUUAUUCUAUCUUCCAGCAUUAUUCACUGGAGAUCUCUGAAACAACCCCUGGAGGGCUUUAUCUGAUGAUGCUUUGCUGGGCAGUAUGGACCUUCUUAUUCACAUCAGAGCCUAGAAACUGGAGACACCUCAUUGCAUGCAGAUAAUUGUCAAAAGUAAAUGGGAGAGAGAAAAAA